rnacentral:pre_miRNA from 1 species
UGAACAGAUUAUUGUAUUCAAUUGUAUUCACGAGGUGAAAUAGGGGAUUAUACUAUUUUUAAAACGGAAAGUGAAUCAAUUAACAUAAUAGACUCCU